rnacentral:rRNA from 1 species
GAUGAACGCUGGCGGCGUGCCUAACACAUGCAAGUCGAGCGAACCCUUCGGGGUGAGCGGCGGACGGGUGAGUAACGCGUGGGUAACCUGCCCUGUACACACGGAUAACAUACCGAAAGGUAUGCUAAUACGAGAUAAUAUAUUUUAAUCGCAUGGUUAAGAUAUCAAAGCUCCGGCGGUACAGGAUGGACCCGCGUCUGAUUAGCUAGUUGGUGAGGUAAUGGCUCACCAAGGCGACGAUCAGUAGCCGACCUGAGAGGGUGAUCGGCCACACUGGAACUGAGACACGGUCCAGACUCCUACGGGAGGCAGCAGUGGGAAUAUUGCACAAUGGGCGAAAGCCUGAUGCAGCAACGCCGCGUGAGCGAUGAAGGCCUUCGGGUCGUAAAGCUCUGUCCUCAAGGAAAAUAAUGACGGCACUUGAGGAGGAAGCCCCGGCUAACUACGUGCCAGCCGCCGCCGUAA